rnacentral:rRNA from 1 species
AUUGAACGCUGGCGGCAGGCCUAACACAUGCCAGUCGAGCGGAUGAAGGGAGCUUGCUCCUGGAUUCAGCGGCGGACGGGUGAGUAAUGCCUAGGAAUCUGCCUGGUAGUGGGGGAUAACGUCCGGAAACGGGCGCUAAUACCGCAUACGUCCUGAGGGAGAAAGUGGGGGAUCUUCGGACCUCACGCUAUCAGAUGAGCCUAGGUCGGAUUAGCUAGUUGGUGGGGUAAAGGCCUACCAAGGCGACGAUCCGUAACUGGUCUGAGAGGAUGAUCAGUCACACUGGAACUGAGACACGGUCCAGACUCCUACGGGAGGCAGCAGUGGGGAAUAAUGGACAAUGGGCGAAAGCCUGAUCCAGCCAUGCCGCGUGUGUGAAGAAGGUCUUCGGAUUGUAAAGCACUUUAAGUUGGGAGGAAGGGCAGUAAGUUAAUACCUUGCUGUUUUGACGUUACCAACAGAAUAAGCACCGGCUAACUUCGUG